rnacentral:misc_RNA from 1 species
GAUGAAGAAUGCAGCGAAAUGCGAUACGUAAUGUGAAUUGCAGAAUUCAGUGAAUCAUCGAAUCUUUGAACGCAUAUUGCGCUCUCUGGUAUUCCGGAGAGCAUGCUUGUUUGAGUAUCAGUAAACACCUCAACUUCCAUAUCUUUUUUGAAAUGGGAGUUGGACUUGAGUGAUCCCAACGCUUUUCCUCACCGAAAAGUGGCGGGUUACUUGAAAUGCAGGUGCAGCUGGACUUUUCUCUGAGCUAUAAGCAUAUCUAUUUAGUCUGCCUAAAAAACAGAUUAUUACCUUUGCUGCAGCUAACAUAAAGGAGAUUAGUUCUUGUGCUGACUGAUGCAGGAUUCACAAAGACAGCUUCGGCCGACUUUGUAAACUCGAUCUCAAAUCAAGUAAGACUACCCGCUGAACUUAAGCAUAUCAAUAAGCGGAGGA